rnacentral:snRNA from 1 species
AUAACUUUUUUGUUUAAUUAGAGAUACACUUAAGGAAAUAUAUAGAUCUGUUCGAAUUAAGCAUAUCGAUUCUUAUCAGUUUAAUCUCUGAUAUGUGAUCAAUUGAUCAUUUCGAGAUUAUCCUGCUCAAAAGGAUUUGAAAGGGGCUUGUUCCUCACCUAUCACGGGUUGAUCCGGUAUUGCAUCUACCCAUGGGAACAGUCCAUUUACC